ACUCCUACGGGAGGCAGCAGUGGGAAUAUUGGACAAUGGGAAUCGUAGAUCCAGCAUGCCGCGCUGCUGUGAAGAAGGCCAAUUCGGGCUUGGUUAAAGACACUUUCAGUGGGGAGGAAAGGUUGAUGGUUAAUACCUAUCAGCUGUGACGUUACCCACAGAAGAAGCACCGGCUAACUCCGUGCCAGCAGCCGCGGUAAUACGGAGGGUGCAAGCGUUAAUCGGAAUUACUGGGCGUAAAGCGUGCGCAGGCGGUCUGUUAAGCGAGAUGUGAAAG
rnacentral:rRNA from 1 species